rnacentral:rRNA from 1 species
GACGAACGCUGGCGGCGUGCUUAACACAUGCAAGUCGAACGGAAAGGCCCCUUUGGGGGUACUCGAGUGGCGAACGGGUGAGUAACACGUGAGUAACCUGCCCUUGCCUUCGGGAUAACUUCAGGAAACUGGGGCUAAUACCGGAUAGGAAUCCUUGCUGCAUGGUGGGGGUUGGAAAGCUUCGGCGGUUUUGGAUGGACUCGCGGCUUAUCUGCUUGUUGGUGGGGCAGUGGCUUACCAAGGCGUUGACGGGUAGCCGGACUGAGGGGGCGACCGGCCACACUGGGACUGAGGUGAGGCCCAGGCACCUACGCGAGGCAGAAGUGCGGAAGACUGCACAAGGAGCGCAAGCCGGAUGCAGAAGCGCCGCGUGCCGGAUGACGCCCUUAUGGUUGUAAAACGCAUUCAGCAGGGGCGAUGCAUGUGGUGACGGUACCUGCACAAGAAGCACCGGCUAACUACGUG